AGAAUCAACGCUGGCGGCGUGCCUAACACAUGCAAGUCGAACGAGAAAGUGGAGCAAUCCAUGAGUAAAGUGGCGACCGGGUGAGUAACACGUGACUAACCUACCUUCGAGUGGGGGAUAACAUCGGGAAACCGAUGCUAAUACCGCAUAACAUCGCAAGAUCAAAGCAGCAAUGCGCUGGAAGAGGGGGUCGCGGCUGAUUAGCUAGUUGGCGGGGUAACGGCCCACCAAGGCGAAGAUCGGUAGCCGGCCUGAGAGGGCGCACGGCCACACUGGAACUGAAACACGGUCCAGACUCCUACGGGAGGCAGCAGUGGGGAAUUUUGCGCAAUGGGGGAAACCCUGACGCAGCAACGCCGCGUGGAGGAUGAAGCCCCUUGGGGCGUAAACUCCUUUCGACCAAGACGAUAAUGACGGUACUGGUGGAAGAAGCACCGGCUAACUCUGCGCCAGCAGCCGC
rnacentral:rRNA from 1 species